GACGAACGCUGGCGGCGUGCCUAAUACAUGCAAGUCGAGCGAAGUUUUUCUGGUGCUUGCACCGGAAAAACUUAGCGGCGAACGGGUGAGUAACACGUAAAGAACCUGCCUUAUAGACUGGGACAACUAUUGGAAACGAUAGCUAAUACCGGAUAACAGCAUUACCUGCAUGGUUGAUGUUUGAAAGUUGGUUUUGCUAACACUAUGAGAUGGCUUUGCGGUGCAUUAGCUAGUUGGUGGGGUAAAGGCCUACCAAGGCGACGAUGCAUAGCCGACCUGAGAGGGUGAUCGGCCACACUGGGACUGAGACACGGCCCAGACUCCUACGGGAGGCAGCAGUAGGGAAUCUUCCGCAAUGGGCGAAAGCCUGACGGAGCAACGCCGCGUGAGUGAAGAAGGAUUUCGGUUCGUAAAGCUCUGUUGUUAGGGAAGAAUGAUUGUGUAGUAACUAUACACAGUAGAGACGGUACCUAACCAGAAAGCCACGGCUAACUACGUG
rnacentral:rRNA from 1 species